AACAAACGUACACCAUUUUUGGAAUACGUUAUGUCACGGGAUUAAGAGGAUAUACCUGAGCUAAUCUAUCUCAAGGUCGCACAACCUCGUGGGACUGGAAGGAUGGAGAGCCGUUUCGGGCCGGAAAGGUAUUUUGGCCAACCUCCUGCAUGGCUGAAAGUGUACAGCAGACACCAUCCGAGAUACGAUCGGAUGAUAAAAUGGGAUGUUUUCUCGCUACCUCAGCUCAUCGUUUACGACCACCACUUGUCCAGGAUGUUCGAAGCGAGGAUCUGCGAGACUGCAGCCUGCUAUGCGAGUUACAGGCGGGAAUUGGAAAAGGCCUUGGAAAAAUCAAAAAAAUUCAGAACUGAUAAAACAUAAAAAUCUUACUAAUGACUUAGAUUAUACAAUCAUUGUACUAAAAUUUCAAAAUUAUUCAAUGAUUAUCGAUAAAAUAUAUUUCGAUAAACAUAAA